UUCAAAACAACAACAGAAAAAACAAAACUGGUGGGCUUGUGGUAAAUUAACUGACUUACAACGCUAAAAUAUGCAGGUUUUUCGAAUGCCUAAGGUGGAUCCUUGUGCUAAAAAUAACAACAACAAUACGAAACACUAAUAUCAUACUAUUGCAUUAUCGAUGGAUCUUGUCGCAACGAUUUUAAUGGCGUACCAUGUUUCUGCAACUGUUACAAUCUACAGCCGUAAUUCAAUGUGUGAGUACUGCCACUAGUAUGUGUAGACGCAUAGGACUUGCUACACUUCCCACGUUCUUUCUUUCGGAGAUUUCUAACCAGUCUGCUAACACUGUAAAGUGUAAUAACAUUAACAGCAACAACUAUGGAUUUCCCACCUUCAAUUUAUGACAGUUGUGUUGAUCCUGUGGAUGGAUGGAUGUCUGGAGUUCAGCCUUAACUUUAGUUAGAAUGAGCUAUUUUGGUGACACAGCUCUACCAUUACGAAUGUUGUUCCAAAGUUAGCCUUGUAAUUUUAUUGUGCUCUUUCCAUGUUACCGACAGAAUAACGUUUGUAUCUUGAGUUCUUGUACGUUUGUUAUUUUAUUCCGUGCUUAUAGGUUACAAUUUAUAUUAUUAUCAUCGUUACUUAUAAUAAUAUGGAAAACAUGCAGUACCUGCAGGGUGCCACCAUGUUGGAAUAAUUUGGAACUGCUAGUUGAGCAGACUGGACUGUUCAACCAAAUAAGCAGAACACAUUCCAGGGCAGCGAGCUGGAAUGGUUUUGCGAAAAUGACUUUUCAGGAUUUACAGUUUUAAAAAGAAAAAAGCAGAAAGAAUUUAGGAGAGCUUGACAUCAUGAUAAGAUUGGAGAUGAAAGUAGAAGACUAUGAGACUUCAACAUCCCACGAAGUUCUGGUUAACAGACUUGGUGAUUUAUUAGAAUCUAAAUACGGUUAUUUUAGUACAACUCUGAAGGGGAUCUUGAUACGUCUCUAACAAAUUCUUUGGAAAGUGAAGAUUCAGAUGUGCAGUGCCACAUUUGUAAUGUUAUUCUGAAGGAAAGUGAAAGCUAUAGAAAGCACAUGUCUGUACAUCGCAAGAAGUCACUGCAGAGAAAGAAAGAGGAGAUUACUAAAUAUUUUAAUUUUCCAGUCUACUAUGAUCCAUAUGAAAGUGACAUGGAACUUUGGUGUGAAGAUGAGGAUUAUACAAAAUCUUGUAGUGAACUCAAAUUAGUUAGUAGAGCCAAAAAACAAGGUAACAAAAUGUCCAAAAGGAAAACAUUGAAGGAACUACCAGCACCAUUUUCUACGAGAGAAAAUUGUCCCGAGUGCAAGGAGCCUUUUUACUAUCGCAAAUCAUUUCUUGCUCACCUUAGACUGAUUCACAAGGUCACUGAUGCAUCUGUCCUGCUAGCCAUCAAGUGUAAAGAUCAUGAAGAGCCAGCUUGCAACAAGUAAUGGGAAACAGAAGAACUUAAGAAGACAUCAUUUAACAUUAAUAGUGUAUUGUGCUCUUUUCAGGUCCCCAUCACUGGGGUGUAUUCAGUUUAAUACCUUGUUUUAUAGUUAUAUUAGAUGAUGUGCUAUUAUGGAGUGUUUAUGUAAAUAUUUUAUUUACUUUGUGUGUAAGGAUACAAAAAGAGAUUUAUGUUCUUGUAUGCAAUAAUGAUAUUGUUACAAAUAAGACUCAAAAACAAAUAUCUAUAUAUAUAUAUGUGUGUGUGUGUGUUUCUAUAUUAUACUUAGAACCAGAUUGUUUAUUAAUUGGAAAUAUUUACUCUAGAGAAAUAUGCAAUGAACACUGGGCUUUUAUGUUUUUGCUUUUGUUUUGAAGCUGUUUUUAUACCUUAAUUGGAAAUAUGUAUUCUAGACAAAUGUGUAAUGAAUACUGUGCUUUUAUGUUUCUGUUUUUAUUUUUAAAGCUAUUUUUAUAUUUAAACUAAAUAGGGAAAUUAUUAUAUUUAGAUAUCUUUGUAAGUGUCUGAAGUUUGAAAACUCUCAUAAUUUAUUUUAUCAAAGGACAUAGUUUAUUCUGUUCAGUUAACAAUGUUCAGUUAACCAUCUAAUGCAGCAUUUAUAAUCCAGCUAACAUCAUCAGUGUUCCAGCAUGUACAACAGGAUAAUAUAAAAAAAAAUAUCAUUUCUCCUGAAUUCUUUGUAAGGUUUAUGCUGUUUGUAUGUAUUAAUUGAAUCUUAUGAGCAGACUUUUGAGGGGAUAAAGAUAAUUUACAUUUUGAAAAUGUAGUCUCCAGUGGGAGAUGAUGCAGAGAAUCGUUGUGGGGCAUAAUAUGGGUGGUGGGAUCCAUGUAUAUUGGAAACAAUCUUUAAUUGUUUGUAAAGGCUUAUAUGUUCUUAAAGGCAUCAUCUAUACUAAAUUCAAACUGAUACAAUACUCUUAUUGGAUUGUUUGUAGAGAGAGAUGUAUUGUUUUCUGUUUAUUCCUAUUCAACCUUGUUAGAUAAAACAACACGCACUUACAGAAAUAACUAUUUAAUUUUACUGUUUUCAUGAAAUGAUAUAUAUAUAUAUAUAUAUGUGUGUGUGUGUGAGUUUUAACUAAAAAACAAUUAUGAAAGACUAACAACUUAUCAUGUAUUGGUUUUAUACUAGUAAAGUUCUAACUCAUAGUAAGGUAAACAGAGUAUAAACCCAAGCAAUUGUUUAGAUGUUUGAAUCCGUAAGUCCCAUGGUUUAUUAUUUUGUUGUGUGCUUACUACUUGAAGUGUUCAUUUUACAACUAAAAGUAUCAAAUAUGUUUGUGGUAUUAACAUUAUUACUCACGUUAGAACGUUAUAGAUAAAGUUCAGUGAAACAUCUCAAAAACCAGACAUUAAAUACUCAUCAGUACUAGGAAUGGGCUGUUUUCUAAACUUCUCUACCUUCAUUUAUGUAAACCAGUUGUACCUCACUUUAGUUGCCUUGUCUUUAAACUGAAAACUAGCUAAUUUUUCCAUUCAAAAAAAUAUAAAUAAAACUUGAAGAGUUUGCAAAGAUUGAAAUCAAUCAUGCCAAUAUGUAUAUGAUUUUUAAAUACAAAUUUUAGAGUUAUAAUUGUAGUAGUUUUGUUUUAAAAAAAAUAAUUAAAUAUUGAUACAAUUUGACAAAUAGACAGAAAGUUAUUUUUUAUACCAUGUAUUUAUUUUCAUGGUUACAGUUAUUGAAAGUCAAAUUCACAAAAUGUACCAAUCAUUUGAAUUAGAUAUACUUCCAGCUUCGGGCAGGCUACAGAAGUUUUACCUUGUAUAUUAAUACUGAUAAUCAUAUUAGAUGUUAAAGUUUUUACUUUACACAGUUAUUAACAUAUCCAGAUAUAAAUCUUUACUCAUUUGCAUGCAUAUUAUAAGAAAAUUAGUUUUCAAUUUUUUAAAAGUGUUUUUUUUUCUUCAUUUGCAUAGAUUCAACUCAUGUAACUAAAAAAUGUUUACCGAAGUUUGUGUCAAUAAUAUUUUGACAUCAAGUAGUUCAAAAUUUAAAAAACACCACCAGACUGUAACACUGCCAAACACUUCUGUCCAAGAUUAAUUAUUAUCUAUAUUAAUUUUUAAAUUGAUGUUUUAACCUUAGCUAUUUUUAUACAAAAAACAACUUGUUUUGUAGAAUUACUAAAUGUUGGACUUGAACUGUAUUGAAAUGUAUUUUUUCACUCAUGUCAAUAAACCAAUAAUGUGCAUUGCAUGUUAGCAGUAUGUCUGUUUUGAGGCAUAUGUUUAUUUUUAUCAUUAUACAUGUGUUUUAGUGAAUCCAGUUAUGAGCAUUUACUACAUGCAUCAGAAUCCUUUAAAUGUAAAAUAAGUAAUAUUGUUUUGUUGAUGCUUUAAAGAACAUGAAUUUUUAUUGUCUAAAGUCUACAAGAAUAUUCUUUCUUUUUAAGUGCUAUUAAUAUGAAUGAAUUAUUGUUUUGUUACUUUUUAUAAAUAAGUUGUAGUUUGCAAGUCAAAACUUUAAGAUUUAAGUGUUACAAAAACAUCAUUUAGCAGACUAAGCAAGUAUUCUGAUUUUGUCUCUAUUGAUUGGUAGGGUUCUUUGAAUAUGGAAGAGGCUAUGAAGAAACAGCAAAAUCAAACAAUAUCUAUUGUGAUGUUUGUGGAAAACGGUAUUCAUCCAAACCAUCUUUGUGGUCACAUAGACAUCACCAGCACAAGAGUCACCGACACUUCUCCUGUCAGUAUUGUGGAAAAGUUUUCACGAGGAGGACAACAUUACAGUACCACAUGAUGAAUCAUAACUAAUUGAUAAACUGAUUUUAUUAUCAAUAUUAAAUAAACGUUUUGAUCAGGAAAACAAGAAUGUGACACAAUAACUUAUAUUUCAUGUUAGUAAAAUACCCUUCAUCAUCAGGUCUAUAAAAACGUUUUCAUUAACAUAACAUUACCACAAGACUAGUCAUAUUUACAUGUUAAUCGAAUUCUCAUCAUUAUCAUGUGUUUAGUCAUCUUCAUGUGUUAGCAGAAAUCAUUCAAUUACCAGUAACAUGAAGAGGUUUCCACUAUUAGUUUCACAUUUUUAAAGGACUUAUCACUGCUAUGUUAAAAACAUUGUCGUUAGAAUGCAUUCGCAUUAGAACAGUGGGACAACUUUUCACACACAAAAAAAUAGUAUAAUAAGAUUAAUUCAAAAAGAUUUAUAUUUCAUAAUGUAGAAGAACAUUUUAAGAACUAGCACCAUUGUUCACAUUUAUCUCUGUGUUAUUACUUUUUACUCAAUCCCAGUAUCAUAAUACAUUUCUUUAUAUUGUUGACAUGAUUAUUUCUUUGUUGUCAUAAUAGAAAGUGUUUAUUAUUUUAUUGUUGUUUUCACCUUUUUUAUUAUAUAAUUUUUCAGUACUCUGAGAGCUGCAUAGUUAAUGCUGUAAGAAAGAUGUGUACGAUGUUGUAUUAUUGUUGUCAUUUGCUAGGGCCAACACUGUUUCCAAAUAUGGUUUAUUGAAAGUAUAGAAUUAAAUUGGUUGUUAACAGAGAACACUUAACAAAACUUUAUCAGUUUCAUUUUAGUGACCAUCAUUAUAUUGUAAUUUUUUUUAUUCAACUUGAUUGAUAAUUUCUGGUUUUGUUAAAUAGCCAACAAAUUCAAUAUAAAACCACUUGUGAGUUUAUGGAUGACAUUUACUCAGUAUAGGAAAGUUAAUGUUUUUAUACAUAAUUGAAUCUUUAAUUUUUAUGUUUUGUGACAUUUUUAAAAGAUUGGUAAUUUGGUGAGAAGUUUUAAAUAAAGAAAAUGUAAAAAGUGGAUGUCAGUUACAUUUUAAUGUACAUGGAAAAAUUUUCAAGUAUACAAAUCUUAAUCAUUCAUUAUUAGAUGAACUUUAUGUGUUACUAAGAAAUCUUUAGAAGAUUCAUUUUAAAGUGCAUGUUUACAUCAUCUUGAACAAAGAUUUCUAAAAAAAGAUACCCAUAUGUUGAUCAACAUAUGCACUCGUUCAUAUUUUGAGAUGAAAUAAAUUACACCAGUAUGAAGGAGCAUUGAAAUUAGUCAUUUUUAGCAUCUUAAAGUGUAUAAUGAAAACUCACACAUCGUUUUAUAAUUAUCUUAAUUUUCAGGACAAGAAAAUUGGACUGUGCUCAAAUUUGCAGAUCAGUCAUCUGUGUUAUCAGAUUCAGAUCGAUUUUGUGCAAUUUGUCAACAGCUGUUUGCAAACAAAUACAGCUUCAGACGACACCAGCUGAUGCACCAACCCUAUCGAAAAAAAUUUAAGUGUUCUUUCUGCUCUAAACAAUUCAGUUGGCCAGGAGACAUGAAAGCUCAUAUUAAAAUGUAUCAUAAAAAAUUCAUUACCUGUUAAAAUGCAGGAACUUUGACCCUUAUGAACAUGCUUUAAAUCUGGACAGAAGUAUAAAUGCAGCAUAUGUCAUGCCAGAUUUGCAUUCACAUCAGGAUUGAGUAGACAUAAGAAGUUCAUACAUGGAAGGACUGGAAUAAACAUCUGCUCAAUAUGUGGAAAGGGUUAUCAGAGACCUGACACUUUAGUUUCUCACAUGAAGACUGUUCACCAGGAGUCAGAAAUGUGGAAGAAGUCAUUCUCUGUGAAGUUAGCCUAAAUAAGACUUGUUUGUUGUGGCACCAACAUUUAUUCAAAUUUCGAUACUCAAAGGAAAGUUAGAAAAACCAGAUGUUGGUGUAUGGUAGAUAACAUUGUAUAGUUUACAAACAACAAGACUUGUUAAGAUAUUAUCAGGUGUGACAACUAGAUACAUGUUCAAUGUCUCCUUUUUCCUCUGUAUCUCUCAAAGCUAUCAGAAAACUUUUGCUUUCUUACUGUAUUCUAAUUUUCUCUGCCACAAAUUGUGAUUUUGCAUUAGUGAUUUCCUUAUACUCAUUUUUCAUGUAGCCCUGUUUCUUCUGUGUGUAUUACAUCAUACAUCUGUUUGCAACACACUGUUUAUCAUGUAUAUUCUCGGUGAUAUUGGACACAUUUAUUUUCCUUUUUUACUGUUUAACUGAUAACUUUACCAAGCAAAAACUCAGUUAAUAGUUGAUUAUUUAAGUAUUUCAAGAAGUUUUCUUUUGAGACCUGGUUGAAGACAGACUGGCAGAUAUGAAGAAUUUUCAUACAGCUGUGUGUUAAUAUUCUGUUUUGUAACUAUAUUUUUAUGUAGUCAUAUAUAUAUAUAUAUGGCACAAAAUGCCAGUUAGCCAAAAAAUGUGCUUACAAUAUAUUUGUUGGUAAUCUUUGCUUUUGUUUUUUAGGCAAUGUAAUGUAAAAAUAAUUAUGAAUGAAGAAUUAAGGCUGAUAUAAAUUAGUUGUACACAUCAGCUUUCUCUCUCAGACAUCAAGUUUGUAAUCAGGAAUGAUGACUGAAUGUAAGAUUGUUUUUUUUUACUUCAUUUCAUUUUCUUUCUUUUUUUCUUGUUAAAUUUGGUUUUCUUUUU